rnacentral:rRNA from 1 species
AGCGGCGGACGGGUGAGUAACACGUGGGCAACCUGCCUGUAAGACUGGGAUAACUUCGGGAAACCGGAGCUAAUACCGGAUAAUCCUUUUCCUCUCAUGAGGAAAAGCUGAAAGACGGUUUCGGCUGUCACUUACAGAUGGGCCCGCGGCGCAUUAGCUAGUUGGUGAGGUAACGGCUCACCAAGGCGACGAUGCGUAGCCGACCUGAGAGGGUGAUCGGCCACACUGGGACUGAGACACGGCCCAGACUCCUACGGGAGGCAGCAGUAGGGAAUCUUCCGCAAUGGACGAAAGUCUGACGGAGCAACGCCGCGUGAGUGAAGAAGGCCUUCGGGUCGUAAAGCUCUGUUGUUAGGGAAGAACAAGUAUCGGAGUAACUGCCGGUACCUUGACGGUACCUAACCAGAAAGCCACGGCUAACUACGUGCCAGCAGCCGCGGUAAUACGUAGGUGGCAAGCGUUGUCCGGAAUUAUUGGGCGUAAAGCGCGCGCAGGCGGUUCCUUAAGUCUGAUGUGAAAGCCCCCGGCUCAACCGGGGAGGGUCAUUGGAAACUGGGGAACUUGAGUGCAGAAGAGAAGAGCGGAAUUCCACGUGUAGCGGUGAAAUGCGUAGAGAUGUGGAGGAACACCAGUGGCGAAGGCGGCUCUUUGGUCUGUAACUGACGCUGAGGCGCGAAAGCGUGGGGAGCGAACAGGAUUAGAUACCCUGGUAGUCCACGCC